ACAAUUGUGCCUACCGAAGCAAGGGAAACCUGGAGCUCCCACAACCCUGUAUGUGGUGGGCUGUUGGUCCAGGGCAACACACCUGGGGAUUAUGUCCUCUUCAGUAAGCGACCAGACUAUUUCUUCACAGCCUGCCUUACUAUAUUGAAUUUCACAUGCUUGAGGGUUAUGGUAUCAUAAAUUUCUUGGGCCAGUGUGGGCCCACCAAUGAAAUUUUGGCCAAAGCCUGCUGGAACCUUAAAGCAGCGCUGACAGCAGUGCUUAAUUCGAAACGGAAGGCAGGAACGACUGAGUGGUGCCAAGUGUAACUAUAUGGAAGUGGAAGGAGCAUAUUUUGAUGCAAGUAACAUUUAAUGAAAGUGGUGUUUUUGCAGGGAAAAGAGCAAGUUGCCCACUGGGUCUGCAGACAUAAAUGAUCCCAUAUAUGUCCUUCCUUUGUAGCAAAAUCACAGUUCCUUUGUAGAUGGAAAGAAAAAUUAUUUCACUUCAUCAAUAAAUCUGCAAUUUAAAA